AUCACUUCAAAUAAUCAGCCAAUAAUAUUUCAAAAAAAAAUAUGGAAAAUCAUCAUGCCCAAAAGCUUUAUCCCCUGGAAUGUAGUGUAGACCUCAGCCUCUGAAACCUCCCCAAGAAGCAUCUCAUUAUCAGCUUCCGAUAAAAUAGUAUUAGGUGGUGGAAAAAUAAUCGGAUCUGUUCUCGUCACUCUGCCAUAUGAUACUAAAAAAAUUAAACAACUCAUUUCUAACAGCGUUGUUAUCCUCAACAUUAUUACCAUUACCAUCUUGAAGAAAAUAUAUUCCAUUCCUUCUUCGUCGAAUAAGCCUAAUGAAAAAAUCUUGUAGACCUAUCCCCUCCUUAAGGCAUGUAAUUCUACAUUUUUGUCUCUACAUAGUUUCUUAUUGGCAAACAAGCGAGUUAUGUUGAGCAAGAUUGGUGUGCAGAACAGACAAAUUACAAUCAGAAAAUCUUCCCUCAUCGCACCCCUUUUGUUAACUCAGAUAUUACUUUUUCAACAUCCUCUAGUCCUAUAAAAAUAUUACCCACCACCCGCCUGUUCCAUGAUCUCAACCUUUUUUUAAAUAGUUCCAAGCUUUUAGUCAUACAGUACAUAGCAUCACCCUUGAUAGGAAUAUUUCAUACAUUGCAAACAAUGUCCCAAGAAUGGGGUAAUACAGCCAAAACUUUUCAAAUUUAAAAAGGGAUUUCUUAGUGAUUUCAAGAAUAGACUUAAAAAGAAUAAGACAAUAGUUAGAAGUAAUUCAAGGAAGAUGACACAUGAAAAUCAAGAAAAUUUUGAAUCUAUCCUCUAAUAGCAAAAGCCCUAUCAAUUCUUUCUCACACCUAAAUACCCUAAAUCUAAAAGACCAUUUGAAGAUAUAAAAAUUCAAAAUUCCCAAAUGCUAAUUUUCUCAAUGAAAGGCUUCCAACCCAUCUUCUCUGGUGGCCUAUCAAUACAAUUAAAAUCUUCAGUAAUUAAUGUUGGCAGACAUUGACUGAUAAUAGUAGAAGCCUUUGUCCAUAACAAACACUGAUGUUGGUAUUCCAGGUCUGCAUAGAUAGCUAACAAAAUCCAAGGAUGCUUUCUUAGCUAUAUAAUAACAAAAAAUGCUUGUUGAGAACUCGAAUUAAAAACUUUAAUUUUCACAUUACCCUACUGCCAAAUCCCAAUAACACCACCCUUGAGGUCUUGAGACUCCGCAGAAUGAAAACACCAACUAGACAGAAGACAAAGAUGCGCCUUGGAUAAACUACAACCUGACAAUCUUUUUUCAAAGAAAACACAAAUAUAACAAUGAUGCAGUUGAAGUCUUCCAAUAGUUGGAGAAAAGGUGGGUUCAUCAGUCUCCCUAUAGUUCUAUAAAAGAAUCUUCAUCGUAUACUACUAGAAGUUUGAUUAACAUCACCCUAAUCUUCACUAAUUGGUAGUUCCAUGGGUUUAGAACAGACCAUAUCAUCCUCUUUGUCCUCUGUUGAAAGAUUUAAACCUAACACAUUCUUCGUUAAAACAACUGCCCUCUCAUGGUCAUCUUGAAUAACCUCUUGACCAACUUGAUUUGCCUGCUGUUCCUCACCUGGAAGUAUUUGAUGUAGUAGAAAUAACUGGCAAUUUAGCCUUCCCUUGGCCCGAUGAAGAAGACAACUCACAACCAGUUUUGAGGCACAUUGAAAGUGGCUGAAAAGCGAAAUGGGCCAUCAACUGGCUGCCCAAAAAACACAUGCUUGGCCCUGGGAUCUGUCAAUAUUGAGCUGAGCUCAAAAAUCUGCACUCCUUUGGACCUUGCAGAUUCCAUUGGACUUUGAGCACAGCCUACAAAGGAGUUGAGGAUUGAGAAAUUCUUUGUGCACCGCGGCUGCGGUCACGGUGCACACCGCACGCACCGCCCAUGAUGAUUGAUUCCGCAUAAGACCGACAAAAAAAAUAUUUUUUUUCAUGCGUCGCACCCCAGCCCCGUGCAUAAACCAAUCACUGCAUACACCUGCACCAUCCGCAGUGCACAAAGAAUUUCUCUUGAGGAUCUCCCUUUCUUCCCUUUGGGCAAGUUUGAGCCCACAGCAAAAAGGCCCACAUCUUUGGGCUGAAGCAUACCCAGCACUUCAAUUUGGGCUUGAGAUACAAAUGGGUUGGAAUUAGCCAUUUGUCCUCGGUCAAGCUCAGGUGAAAACCUCCUGCAAUUUUAGUUGGCUUCAUCCACCCAGGUUCAUCAUUGGUUCCAUCUAGCGAUCCUGAUGAAACCAAUUUCGAUUGAUUCCCCUUAACCCUUCAUUCAGUAUAAAGGAUGGAUUGAAGGAAAGAUGGAUGGAUUCCAUCCAUCCAUCUCAUAUGUUUGGUGAAGUAUGAAAGAAUGGAUGAAAAUAAUUCUCUUCUUUAUUUGAUAUAGGAGAAAUAAGAAGAAUGGAUGAUAUUAUAUAAUAUUUUAC
rnacentral:lncRNA from 1 species